GAUGAACGCUAGCGGCAGGCCUAACACAUGCAAGUCGAGGGAGAAGCCCUUUCAGGGGCAGAAACCGGCGCACGGGUGCGUAACGCGUAUGCAACCUACCUUUCACAGGGGGAUAGCCCGAAGAAAUUUGGAUUAAUACCCCAUAAUAUUAUUGGAUGGCAUCAUUUGAUAAUUAAAACUGCGGUGGUGAAAGAUGGGCAUGCGUCCUAUUAGCUAGUUGGAGUGGUAACGGCACCCCAAGGCUACGAUAGGUAGGGGUCCUGAGAGGGAGAUCCCCCACACUGGUACUGAGACAGGGACCAGACUCCUACGGGAGGCAGCAGUGAGGAAUAUUGGUCAAUGGUCGGAAGACUGAACCAGCCAUGCCGCGUGCAGGAAGAAUGCCUUAUGGGUUGUAAACUGCUUUUAUAUGGGAAGAAUAAGGCGUACGUGUACGUUGAUGACGGUACCAUAUGAAUAAGCAUCGGCUAACUCCGUG
rnacentral:rRNA from 1 species